GUACACGCUGUGACUAGCAUAUCAAUAAGCGGAGGAAAAGAAACUAACUAGGAUUCCCUCAGUAACGGCGAGUGAAGCGGGAAGAGCUCAAAUUUGAAAUCUUCAAGGUUCUACCUUGACGAAUUGUAGUUUAAAGAAGUGUUUUCUGUUGGAGUUUUGGUAAAAGUUCUUUGGAAUAGGACAUCAUAGAGGGUGAGAAUCCCGUAUUUGACCAUUAUUUCCAGCUUUGUGAUACACUUUCAAAGAGUCGGAUUGUUUGGGAAUGCAGUCCAAAAUGGGUGGUAAAUUUCAUCUAAAGCUAAGUACUGGCGAGAGACCGAUAGCGAACAAGUACCGUGAGGGAAAGAUGAAAAGAACUUUGAAAAGAGAGUUAAACAGUACGUGAAAUUGUCAAAAGGGAAGCGUUUGACACCAGUGUUGUUUUCUCGAAAAUCAAUUAAAAAGAACUUGAUUUUGUGUUGUAUUGACCUUAUAAGCUUUCUGCACUCUUUUCCUGUUAUUUUUAAUGCACUUUUCGUUUAACAAGUCAACAUCAGUUUCUUUUGUUGUAAAAAGGUCAUUGGAAGGUGGCUUUCUUUUCGGAGAAAGUGUUUAUAGCCUUUGACUCCUGCAAUCGGAGAGACUGAGGUCUGCAGCGUAGAUCCUUUUUUGGGUUAGAUUCAUCUGUGCUAAGUUAUAGCUUUUUAUAGACAACAUGUUGACUAUAUUUAGUCUUGUAACUUACUCGCUUAUGUAAUUUUACCUACGCUUAGGAUGUUGAACUACUGAGACAUAGA
rnacentral:rRNA from 1 species